UAUCUUCCCCAUGGCCAGCAGGAAGGCCAGCAGGAAGGCCAUCAGGAAGGCCAGCAGGGCUUCAGGGACCUUGCUCUUUACAGGGUAGCAGAUGUAGGUCCUGGGGCUCAAACUUGUAUCCUAAGGUUUGGUGGCGAACUCCCUUACCCACUGAACCACCUCACCAAAGCUGCAUAGGAUUCGUGAAAAUGCAAGGUUACACAUCCACCGUCAGAGCAUGCCAACUGCCUAUCACUGGAGGUUCAUAUUCAUUUUUAAUGAGAGAAACAGAGAUGAAUCUGAGUCAGGUUCCAGAACACUGGUAGACACUGGUCGAGAGGAGGGGAAGGUGGCUGCACCCAAAAUGCCUGAAGCUGAGUGCCCACGGUCUUUAUUCUAUUAGACUGGGGAUGAGCUGAAGGAGGAGCUGAAGUCUUCAAAUCACCUUUCCCUCACUCCUGACCACCACCUCACCCUCUACCCUCAACACACAAGAGGCAGGCUCAGCUCAGCCUUAUCUCUAAGGCUGUCUCCAACAUUCCUUCAUCCUGAAAAGUUUCCAUAGCCACGGAGAUGGCUUAGCUGGUGAAGGCAUUCCUCACCAAACCUCACAAACCCAGAACCCAUAGUGGAAGCAGAGAACCAGCUCCUGCCAGUUGUCCUCUGACCCCCCAACCUGUGCACGUUGAUAAGCACACACACCGCCCUCCGCUCCAAAGGAAGUAAAUAAUUGCUAGGGGGUUAGUUUUUGUUUGUUUUUAAGAAGACAUUUCCAGCCAAUAAAGGGCUUCCUGAAAUUGGGCAGAGCAACCU
rnacentral:lncRNA from 1 species